AUUGAACGCUGGCGGUAGGCUUAACACAUGCAAGUCGAGCGGAGAGAGGUAGCUUGCUACUGAUCUUAGCGGCGGACGGGUGAGUAAUGCUAGGAAUCUGCCUAUUAGUGGGGGACAACAUUUCGAAAGGAAUGCUAAUACCGCAUACGUCCUACGGGAGAAAGCAGGGGAUCUUCGGACCUUGCGCUAAUAGAUGAGCCUAAGUCGGAUUAGCUAGUUGGUGGGGUAAAGGCCUACCAAGGCGACGAUCUGUAGCGGGUCUGAGAGGAUGAUCCGCCACACUGGGACUGAGACACGGCCCAGACUCCUACGGGAGGCAGCAGUGGGGAAUAUUGGACAAUGGGCGCAAGCCUGAUCCAGCCAUGCCGCGUGUGUGAAGAAGGCCUUAUGGUUGUAAAGCACUUUAAGCGAGGAGGAGGCUACUUUAGUUAAUACCUAGAGAUAGUGGACGUUACUCGCAGAAUAAGCACCGGCUAACUCUGUGCCAGCCGCCGCAGUAAAAC
rnacentral:rRNA from 1 species